rnacentral:rRNA from 1 species
UCCGUAGGUGAACCUGCGGAGGGAUCAUUACCAGAGUGCCCUASGCUCUCCAACCCAUUGUGAACUUACCAAACGUUCCCUCGGCGGGCUCAGCGCGCGGUGGCCUCCGGGCCUCCGGGCGUCCGCCGGGGAAAACCAAACCCUGAUUUAAUCGUAUUUCUCUGAGGGGCGAAAGCCCGAAAACAAAAUGAAUCAAAACUUUCAACAACGGAUCUCUUGGCUCUGGCAUCGAUGAAGAACGCAGCGAAAUGCGAUAAGUAAUGUGAAUUGCAGAAUUCAGUGAAUCAUCGAAUCUUUGAACGCACAUUGCGCCCGCCGGCACUCCGGCGGGCAUGCCUGUCCGAGCGUCAUUUCAACCCUCAGGCCCACCCUUCCGGGGGAGCGGGCCUGGUUCUGGGGAUCGGCGGCCCUCGCGGCCCCCGUCCCUCAAAUUCAGUGGCGGUCGCGCCGCAGCCUCCCCUGCGUAGUAGCACAACCUCGCACCGGAGAGCGGAACGACCACGCCGUAAAACACCCAAUUUUUUAAGGUUGACCUCGGAUCACGUARGAAUACCCGCUGAACUAAGCAUAUCAAUAAGCGGAGA